AAAGAAACCAACCGGGAUUGCCUCAGUAACGGCGAGUGAAGCGGCAAGAGCUCAAAUUUGAAAGCUGGCCCCUUCGGGGUCCGCAUUGUAAUUUGCAGAGGAUGCUUCGGGUGUGGCCCCCGUCUAAGUGCCCUGGAACGGGCCGUCAGAGAGGGUGAGAAUCCCGUCUUGGGCGGGGUGUCCAUGCCCGUGUGAAGCUCCUUCGACGAGUCGAGUUGUUUGGGAAUGCAGCUCUAAAUGGGUGGUAAAUUUCAUCUAAAGCUAAAUACUGGCCGGAGACCGAUAGCGCACAAGUAGAGUGAUCGAAAGAUGAAAAGCACUUUGAAAAGAGAGUUAAACAGCACGUGAAAUUGUUGAAAGGGAAGCGCUUGCGACCAGACUCGCCCGCGGGGUUCAGCCGGCAUUCGUGCCGGUGUACUUCCCCGUGGGCGGGCCAGCGUCGGUUUGGGCGGCCGGUCAAAGGCCCCUGGAAUGUAGUGCCCUCCGGGGCACCUUAUAGCCAGGGGUGCAAUGCGGCCAGCCCGGACCGAGGAACGCGCUUCGGCUCGGACGCUGGCAUAAUGGUCGCAAACGAC
rnacentral:rRNA from 1 species